CUCUCAUUUAUAAGCUCCUGUGAUCACUCUGUUUAUAGAAUGAGAUUGGUAUUCUAAGGUUUUAUUUAUUACUCAUAGCUUUACUAUAAUUAUGCUAAUUUUCUACUUUGAGCAAAGAGGUAUUCUUAAAGGGAUGUGUAUCGGUCUUAUGUUUGGGUAGUUCUUUGCCAUGAGGGCCUUUCCUGAGCACCGUACCAUGUUCAGCCGCAUUCCUGGCCUCUGAACACUGGAUGCCAGCAAGACUUCCCAGUUGCAACAACCAAAAAUGUCUCCAAAUGUCCUGGGUGUAGGAGGUCGGGGGCAGAUGGAGGGGGGGUAAAUUUGCCCCCAGUUGACAACAUCCACUAGAUUGGGCGUUAGGAAUUUUAGAAAAUAAAUAAAAUACGGAAGAAACAGAAGACUCUGACCUAGCAUUUGGAUUCGCCUCCGCUGACGGCGGGCUUUCUCCUCUGUCCCCGCCGCGCGGAAGCGUGGUCCCCCGACGGGCGCGGAGGGAUGCUGUGUCGUGCGGCCAGCGGGGCUGCAGGGACUCUUGCAUCUCCCCGGCCGCGCUCUGCGGAUGAAACCCGCACAGGAGUUGUCUCCCCCGGGCUCUUCUGGGGUCCGUGGAAAAAUCUCCAUCUCUCACACAGAUGAAUUGCAGAAACCGGCAAGCUUUUCAAGUGCGGAAGAAUGGGCUUUGUCGAACCCGAAGUGAUUUUCAAUGAAAGCGCACAUUUACAUCGGUCGGUGCCGCCCUCCUGGGGUGUGCGGGGCCGGGCCCCCGCGCGGGGUGGCCCUCCCACCAGGCCUGUGGCCCCGGCCCGCCCGUGGUCAGUUUUGAUGUGGGCUUGGGGGUCCUGCUCGGAGCGGGCUCCGCCCGGGGCCGCUCGUCCUGACAGGAAACGUUAACAAGCGCGCGCACUGCGCACGGGCGUCUCCUGCAGCGAUCCUGACCCGAGGCCACGGAUUCGGCAGUGAGUUUACGGCUUCAUAGCAUGGUUUUAAUUUAGUCACCUCAAAGAUUUGCGUUCCUCGGACUUGCAAGCCGCCCGCCCGCUCCCCUCCCCGGAGCGCCCCCUCGCCGCCCCCCGCCCCCAGAGGAAGUCUCUCUUGUAAAGACCGCGGCGGCCACUGGGGAAGCUGAGCAGCAAAGGCAGAGCGCGCGAGGCAGCGUGUGCGAUCUUAGCUCCUCCACCGGGGAUCAAACUCCUGCCCUCUGCAGUGGAAGCUCAGAGUCCUAACCACCGGAGCACCAGGUGUCCAGUGUAAUAAUUUGGUAUUUGCCUGUACUAUGAAAUGAUUAUCACAGUAAGUCUAGCUAAGACGACUGCAGCGUGUCAGGGUGCAUUCUCCAGAACGAUUGAAAAAGCUCUUGGAAGGUGAGUUUCUUCAAUGCAUCAAGUUGACAAGUGAGGAGCUGGUUUGAAAGUGAACACAAGUUCCAAAGCCUCAGGCAGCAAGCAAGCUGUACUCCAAGGCUGCUCUUCUAUCGGGGGCCUGUGGAUGCCUGAGCUGGCUAACCUGCUAAGAGGAUUCCGUGUGGUCAGUGGAGGACGUUUUCUCUGACCAAGAGUCCAGAGCCACACCCUGUCUGUCCAGCUCACCACUGUUGUUUUCUGAGCUUAAUCGACUCAACAUCACUUGGUACCUCUGCCUCUGGUGACACAGGACGUCUGGAUUUUCAAGAUCCAAAAUUCACUUUUCUAUUAACUUUGCUGUCAUUCCGCAAAGCUCCCUAGGCCCUGGCAUGUCAGGAUAUUCAAUAAUGAACAUUUCAUAACAAAGAACAAAUUAAAAUUUCAUCUUCAUCAAUUGCAGUGAUUACAUACACAUAUUUUUUGGAUUUAGAUUUUCAUAUAUUCUUUAGUCAUGACAACUAUUAUAACCAAAUAUCAGAAUUGCUUUAUCAUAAAGGUUUUUGACAAUUGUGAAGCAUUUCCGUAUUUUUCAUGUAUGAAAAUGUUCUUAUACAUCUUCUUUGUGAAACCAAAACAGUUUUGAUAUUUAACUUUACAUAUUAAUAAGAUUUCAAAGAAAUUAAAAUAUUUUGGCUCAUUCACAAAAUGUUUUAUAAAUUGUUAUUCACUUGCUCUU